AAUUUCGAUUAACGCGAAGACCUUUACCCAGGCUUGAAGAGCGAAUGACCAUUCCCGAAAGGGAACUUCCGCAAGGACAUUCGUAGAGGUGCUGCAUGGCUGUCGUCAGCUCGUGUCGUGAGAUGUUGGGUUAAGUCCCGCAACGAGCGCAACCCUUGUCUGCUGUUGCCAUCACGUUAUGGUGGGCACUCUGCAGAGACUGCCGGUGAUAAACCGGAGGAAGGUGGGGAUGACGUCAAGUCAGCAUGGCCUUUAUGUCUGGGGCUACACACGUGCUACAAUGGCCGGUACAAACCGUCGCGAUACCGCAAGGUGGAGCUAAUCGGAGAAAGCCGGUCUCGGUUCGGAUAGCAGGCUGCAACUCGCCUGCUUGAAGUUGGAAUCGCUAGUAAUCGCGGAUCAGCACGCCGCGGUGAACACGUUCCCGGGCCUUGUCACACCGAAUCACUA
rnacentral:rRNA from 1 species